GACGAACGCGGGCGGCGUGCUUAACACAUGCAAGUCGAACGAAGAGCGAUGGAAGCUUGCUUCUAUCAAUCUUAGUGGCGAACGGGUGAGUAACGCGUAAUCAACCUGCCCUUCAGAGGGGGACAACAGUUGGAAACGACUGCUAAUACCGCAUACGAUCUAAUCUCGGCAUCGAGGAUAGAUGAAAGGUGGCCUCUACAUGUAAGCUAUCACUGAAGGAGGGGAUUGCGUCUGAUUAGCUAGUUGGAGGGGUAACGGCCCACCAAGGCGAUGAUCAGUAGCCGGUCUGAGAGGAUGAACGGCCACAUUGGGACUGAGACACGGCCCAGACUCCUACGGGAGGCAGCAGUGGGGAAUCUUCCGCAAUGGACGAAAGUCUGACGGAGCAGCGCCGCGUGAGUGAUGACGGCCUUCGGGUUGUAAAGCUCUGUUAAUCGGGACGAAAGGCCUUC
rnacentral:rRNA from 1 species